UACAGGGGGCGCGAGCGUUGCUCGGAAUCACUGGGCGUAAAGCGUACGCAGGCGGGUCGAUAAGUCCGUUGUGAAAUCCCAGGGCUCAACCCUGGAACUGCAGUGGAGACUGUCGAUCUUGAGUACGGGAGAGGAGAGCGGAAUUCCUGGUGUAGAGGUGAAAUUCGUAGAUAUCUGGAGGAACACCGGUGGCGAAGGCGGCAUCCUGGACCAACACUGACACUGAGGAGCGAAAGCCAGGGGAGCAAACGGG
rnacentral:rRNA from 1 species